ACUUAAAUUGAAGAGUUUGAUCAUGGCUCAGAUUGAACGCUGGCGGCAGGCCUAACACAUGCAAGUCGAGCGGUAGCACAGAGAGCUUGCUCUC
rnacentral:rRNA from 1 species